rnacentral:rRNA from 1 species
UACGUAGGGGGCGAGCGUUAUCCGGAUUUAUUGGGCGUAAAGGGUGUGUAGGCGGUUUAUUAAGUCUAAAAUUAAAUUCCAAGGCUUAACCUUGGUUCGUUUUAGAAACUGGUAGACUUGAGUGCAGUAGAGGCAAGUGGAAUUUCUAGUGUAGCGGUUAAAUGCGUAGAUAUUAGAAGGAACACCAGUGGCGAAGGCGGCUUGCUGGGCUGUUACUGACGCUGAGACACGAAAGCGUGGGGAGCAAAUA